AUGGAUCCAUUCCCCGUCUUCGGCCGCGAGAGAUCCCCGUCGUCGCCUGACUACCCGCCCCGCCUGGGGUCGCCGGAGUACGUGCCGUCGUGCCAUCAGUGGCGAGCGGGGUCGCUUGACCUCGCGCCGUCGACCUCCCCGUGGCGCGCGGAGUCCCCGGAGUACGUCCCGUCGACUCCCUGGUGGCGCGGGCGCGUGACGGUCACGGGCAGCCACCACACCCGGUCGUCGGCAGGUGGGCGGCAGAGCUCGUCCUCGUCGUCGCCGGAUUACUUCCCGUCCACCUCGCCGUGCUGCGUGGCGUCUCCGGAGUAUAGGCCGUCGGCUGACCACUGGAGGCGUGCGGCGUCACCAGAUUACGCGCCGUCGACCUCCCCGUGGCGCGCGGAGUCCCCGGAGUACGUCCCGUCGACUGCCUGGUGGCGCGGGCGCGCGGCGACCAACCAGCACACCCGGUUGUCGGUACCUGGGCGGCAGAGCUCGUCGUCCCCGGAUUACUCCCCUUCUACCUCGCCGUGCCGCGUGGCGUCGCCGGGUUACUCCCCUUCUACGUCACUGUGCCGAGUGGCGUCGCCGGAGUAUAUGCCGUUGACUGACCACUGGAGGCGCGCGCUGGCGGUGUUCCCCGCCGACGACACCCCGUCGACACCUCAGGAGCAGCGACCUUCUUCGUCGGACUACGCCGCGUCGACACCUCCUCUGCGGCGCUCGCCGUCACCGGAUUACUCCCCCUCGGCCUCCUCGUGGCGCGCGGCCUCGCCGGAGUACGUGCCGACUGCUCCGUGGAGGUGCGCGGCGUCCCCGCAGCACACGCCCCCGACGCGUCCCCAGCGCGCGGCGACAUAUCCUGACCGCGUCCCCCGCCCGUCUCCUCCGUCGCCGCCGGUGCCAGCUGACACUGGGUCGCGCACGUCCUCGCGGUCCCGCUGCUAUCAUCCGUACCAGAGGGGCGGCGUCGAGCCGUGCACGUGCUCCGCGCGCCGGAGCUGA
rnacentral:rRNA from 1 species